AAUAAACUUUGUAAAUAUAACUGAUGAUGUUACUAUAGAAAUUGUAUCCCAAGGACAAUAUAUUCUGCAAAUAUUCUUUUUUUUGAGCGCAUUUUUAACAUUCUAUCUACGUAGAAACGAUGAAGAAAACUCUAUAUCAUAUUACUUUAUUUUUUAUCAAGCGAUACACAAGAUUGACUAUUCCUUUGCUUUUCAUAUUGGCUUUCUUCAUAAUUUUGCCAAUUUGUGGCGAAGGACCACACUGGGAUCUCGUAUACGAAGAAGCACAAAGAGUUGAACAACACUGGUGGAGAUACAUUCUUCAUGUUAUAAAUUUAGGCAACAUUAAA